UGGGGAAUAUUGCACAAUGGGCGCAAGCCUGAUGCAGCAACGCCGCGUGAGGGAUGACGGCCUUCGGGUUGUAAACCUCUUUUAGCAGGGAAGAAGCGAAAGUGACGGUACCUGCAGAAAAAGCACCGGCUAACUACGUGCCAGCAGCCGCGGUAAUACGUAGGGUGCAAGCGUUGUCCGGAAUUAUUGGGCGUAAAGAGCUCGUAGGCGGUCUGUCGCGUCUGCUGUGAAAUCCCGAGGCUCAACCUCGGGCCUGCAGUGGGUACGGGCAGACUAGAGUGCGGUAGGGGAGAAUGGAACUCCUGGUGUAGCGGUGGGAUGCGCAGAUAUCAGGAAGAACACCGAUGGCGAAGGCAGUUCUCUGGGCCGUAACUGACGCUGAGGAGCGAAAGCGUGGGGAGCGAACAGGAUUAGAUACCCUGGUAGUCCACGCCGUAAACGUUGGGCGCUAGAUGUGGGGACCAUUCCACGGUUUCCGUGUCGCAGCUAACGCAUUAAGCGCCCCGCCUGGGGAGUACGGCCGCAAGGCUAAAACUCAAAGGAAUUGACGGGGUCAUAGCUGUUUCCU
rnacentral:rRNA from 1 species